rfam:Glycine max cultivar Williams 82 chromosome 17, whole genome shotgun sequence.
AGGAUGGAAUGAAGCCAAGGAUGACUUGCCGGAGUCAUAUUCCAUGUGAUGAUGAGGCUAAAUGCUUUGAUCGUGAAAAUUGAGUUAACCCGGCAAGUAAUCUUUGGCUGCAUUUUGCUCUCU